GACGAACCGUGCAAACGUUAUUCGGAAUCACUGGGCUUAAAGGGCGCGUAGGCGGGCUUCCAAGUCGGUGGUGAAAUCUUUCGGCCCAACCGGAAAAGUGCCGCCGAUACUGGGAGCCUCGAGGGAGGUAGGGGUCGAGGGAACUCUAGGUGGAGCGGUGAAAUGCGUAGAUAUCGUUUGGAACGCCAAUGGUGAAAACAGGUCGCUGGGGAUGAGCUGACGCUGAGACACGAAAGCCAGGGGAGCAAACGGG
rnacentral:rRNA from 1 species